rnacentral:misc_RNA from 1 species
GAUGAAGAACGCAGCGAAAUGCGAUAAGUAAUGUGAAUUGCAGAAUUCAGUGAAUCAUCGAAUCUUUGAACGCACAUUGCGCCCGCCAGUAUUCUGGCGGGCAUGCCUGUUCGAGCGUCAUUUCAACCAUCGAGCCCCCGGCUUGUGUUGGGGACCUGCGGCUGCCGCAGGCCCUGAAAAGCAGUGGCGGGCUCGCUGUCACACCGAGCGUAGUAGCAUACAUCUCGCUCUGGGCGUGCUGCGGGUUCCGGCCGUUAAACCACCUUCAUAACCCAAGGUUGACCUCGGAUCAGGUAGGAAGACCCGCUGAACUUAAGCAUAUCAUAAGCGGAGGA